GGGGGGGGGGGGGGGGGGGGGGGGGGGGGGGGGGGGGGGGGGGGGGGGCGGGCGGUGGGGGGGUGGUGGAGUGGGGGACGGGUGAGUAACGGGUGAGUGACCUGCGCUGGACUUUGGGGUGGCUUCAGGACACUGGGGCUAAGUCCGGAUGGGGGCUCCUUCUGCGUGGUGUGAGUUGCAAGGGUUCGGCUGUUGGGGAUGGACUCGCGGCUUAUCAUCUUGGUGGUGGAGUAUUGGCUUACCAAGGCGUUGACGGGUAGCCGGCCUGAGAGGGUCACCGGCCACAUUGGGACGGAGAUACGGCACAGACUCCUACGGGAGGCAGCAGUGGGGAAUAUUGCACAAUGGGCGGAAGCCUGAUGCAGCAACGCCGCGUGCGGGAGGACGGCCUUCGGGUUGUAAACCGCUUUCGCCUGUGACGAAGCGUGAGUGACGGUAAUGGGUAAAGAAGCACCGGCUAACUACGUG
rnacentral:rRNA from 1 species